ensembl:misc_RNA Metazoa_SRP Metazoan signal recognition particle RNA
GCCAGGUGUUGUGGUGCACACCUGUAGUCCCAGCUACUUGGGAGGCUGAGUUGGGAGGAUCACUUGAGCCCAGGAGGCAGAGGCUGCAGUGAGCCGAGAUCACCCCACUUCACUCCAGCCUGGGCGACAGAGUGAGACCUCAUCUCAA